rnacentral:rRNA from 1 species
CGCAUGACAUAUUUCCAUCGCAUGGUGGAGAUAUCAAAGGAGCAAUCCGCUGAAGGAUGGACUCGCGUCCGAUUAGAUAGUUGGCGGGGUAACGGCCCACCAAGUCGACGAUCGGUAGCCGGACUGAGAGGUUGAACGGCCACAUUGGGACUGAGAUACGGCCCAGACUCCUACGGGAGGCAGCAGUGGGGGAUAUUGCACAAUGGGCGAAAGCCUGAUGCAGCAACGCCGCGUGAGGGAAGACGGUUUUCGGAUUGUAAACCUCUGUUCUAAGUGACGAACAAAUGACGGUAGCUUAGGAGAAAGCCCCGGCUAACUACGUGCCAGCAGCCGCGGUAAUACGUAGGGGGCAAGCGUUGUCCGGAAUUACUGGGUGUAAAGGGAGCGCAGGCGGAGAAGCAAGUCAGUGGUGAAAACGAUGGGCUUAACUCAUCGACUGCCAUUGAAACUGUUUCCCUUGAGUGAAGUAGAGGCAGGCGGAAUUCCGAGUGUAGCGGUGAAAUGCGUAGAUAUUCGGAGGAACACCAGUGGCGAAGGCGGCCUGCUGGGCUUUAACUGACGCUGAGGCUCGAAAGUGUGGGGAGCAAACAGGAUUAGAUACCCUGGUAGUCCACACUGUAAACGAUGAUUGCUAGGUGUGGGGGGUCUGACCCCUUCCGUGCCGGAGUUAACGCAAUAAGCAAUCCACCUGGGGAGUACGGCCGCAAGGUUGAAACCCAAAGGAAUUGACGGGGGCCCGCACAAGCAGUGGAUUAUGUGGUUUAAUUCGACGCAACGCGAAGAACCUUACCAGGUCUUGACAUCCAACGAAUCCUUAAGAGAUUAGGGAGUGCCUUUCGGGGAACGUUGAGACAGGUGGUGCAUGGUUGUCGUCAGCUCGUGUCGUGAGAUGUUGGGUUAAGUCCCGCAACGAGCGCAACCCCUGCCAUUAGUUGCUACGCAAGAGCACUCUAAUGGGACCGCUACCGACAAGGUGGAGGAAGGUGGGGACGACGUCAAAUCAUCAUGCCCCUUAUGACCUGGGCUACACACGUAAUACAAUGGCCGUUAACAACGGGAGGCGAAACCGCGAGGUGGAGCAAAACCCUAAAAACGGUCCCAGUUCGGAUCGCAGGCUGCAACCCGCCUGCGUGAAGUUGGAAUUGCUAGUAAUCGCGGAUCAGCAUGCCGCGGUGAAUACGUUCCCGGGCCUUGCACA